CCGGCACGGGUGAGUAACACGUAUGCAAUCCACCUGUAACAGGGGGAUAACCCGGAGAAAUCCGGACUAAUACCCCAUAAUAUGGGCGCUCCGCAUGGAGAGCCCAUUAAAGAGAGCAAUUUUGGUUACAGACGAGCAUGCGCUCCAUUAGCCAUUGGCGGGGUAACGGCCCACCAAAGCGACGAUGGAUAGGGGUUCUGAGAGGAAGGUCCCCCACAUUGGAACUGAGACACGGUCCAA
rnacentral:rRNA from 1 species